rnacentral:rRNA from 1 species
GUUUUUGUCGAUCAAGAACGAAAGUUAGGGGAUCGAAGACNAUNAGAUACCGUCCUAGUCUUAACCUUAAACUAUGCCCACUAGGGAUUGGGGUCAUCANACUCUUGGUGUCUUCANCAUCUUCANAGAAAUCAAAGUCUUUGGGUUCCGGGGGGAGUAUGGUCACAAGGCUGAAACUUAAAGGAAUUGACGGAAGGGCACCACCAGGAGUGGAGCCUGCGGCUUAAUUUGACUCAACACGGGAUAACUCACCAGGUCCAGACUUAGAAAGGAUUGACAGACUGAUAGCUCUUUCUUGAUUCUAUGGGUGGUGAUGCAUGGCCGUUCUUAGUUGGUGGAGUGAUUUGUCUGGUUAAUUUCGUUAACGAACGANACCUUAUCCUGCUAAGUAAUACUGAAAACAAUGCAGUUUGAAAGUGAUCUUCUUANAGGGACUUUGUGUGUUUAGCACGAGGAAGUGUGAGGCAAUAACAGGUCUGUGAUGCCCUUAGAUGUUCUGGGCUGCACGCGCGCUACACUGACAUGUCCAGCGAGCUCCCAACCUGCUCNGCAAANAAUGGGUACCCUUUUUAACGCAUGUCGUGAUGGGGAUAGAUUAUUGCAAUUGUUGAUCUUGAACGAGGAAUUCCUAGUAAGUGCAAGUCAUUAGCUUGUGCUGAGUACGUCCCUGCCCUUUGUACACACCGCCCGUCA